GUCCAGACUCCUACGGGAGGCAGCAGUCGGGAAUAUUGCGCAAUGGAGGAAACUCUGACGCAGUGACGCCGCGUAUAGGACGAAGGUCUUCGGAUUGUAAACUAUUGUCGUUAGGGAAGAGAAAGGACAGUACCUAAGGAGGAAGCUCCGACUAACUACGUGCCAGCAGCCGCGGUAAUACGUAGGGGGCAAGCGUUAUCCGGAUUUACUGGGUGUAAAGGGAGCGUAGACGGCAAUGCAAGCCAGAUGUGAAAGCCCGGGGCUCAACCCCGGGACUGCAUUUGGAACUGUGUAGCUGGAGUGUCGGAGAGGCAGGCGGAAUUCCUAGUGUAGCGGUGAAAUGCGUAGAUAUUAGGAGGAACACCAGUGGCGAAGGCGGCCUGCUGGACGAUGACUGACGUUGAGGCUCGAAAGCGUGGGGAGCAAACAGGAUUAGAUACCCCUGUA
rnacentral:rRNA from 1 species